rnacentral:rRNA from 1 species
GUGGGUUGCACCAGAAGCCGGUAGCCUAACCUUCGGGAGGGCGCCGACCACGGUGUGAUUCAUGACUGGGGUGAAGUCGUAACAAGGUAGCCGUAGGUGAACCUGCAGAAGGAUCA